CCUACGGGGAGCAGCAGUGAGGAAUAUUGGUCAAUGGGCGGGAGCCUGAACCAGCCAAGUCGCGUGAGGGAAGAUGGUCCUAUGGAUUGUAAACCUCUUUAGGCGGGGAGCAAUGCCGGGCACGCGUGCCCGGAGGGAGAGUACCCGCAGAAUAAGCAUCGGCUAACUCCGUGCCAGCAGCCGCGGUAAUACGGAAGAUGCGAGCGUUAUCCGUUUUUAUUGGGUGUAUAGGGUGCGUAGGCGGAUUUUUAAGUCAGCGGUAAGAUGUCCGGGCUCAACCCGGGCCGGCCGUUGAAACUGGGGAGCUUGAGUGGGCGAGCAGUAUGCGGAAUGCGUGGUGUAGCGGUGAAAUGCAUAGAUAUCACGCAGAACUCCGAUUGCGAAGGCAGCAUACCGGCGCCCGACUGACGCUGAGGCACGAAAGCGUGGGGAUCGAACAGGAUUAGAUACCCUAGUAGUC
rnacentral:rRNA from 1 species